CACUGCUGCAAGCCACAGUAUUGCCUGUCUGAGGGGAAUGAAGCUCAGACUGAGCCAUGGGAGGCUGGACAACGACCACUCUACCCCAAUAGUCCUUAAGAAAGGGCGGUAGGCCCAGCCACUGCAGGGUACCUCACAGUAGUUCUGUGAUCCACUUCCACAUGAAGGAAGGGGCCCAGCGAUGAUUCGUAUCCUCUGAGCCCAGCACUGGCACAAGCUCUGCCGGCGGGGCACCGCAUGGCAGGAUGGCGGCUGAUGUCACGUAGACACGAGCAAAAAAAAAACGAAAGCAAACUAGAGGCAGCUUCUGCAUCUUUGAUCCAGGCAGCACAGAUUAUCAAGGAGGGAUCUCUUUGUUUUUGUAUCCCUGCUUAGAGAGCUGAACCGAGCUGACAUCCUGCACCCACUGAGUCUACUGUCGCAGCAGAGAGAAAGACUGCUGUCUACAGCUUCACGAAAACGAUGCCCCUGAGAGAGCCCAGAACUUGAGAACGAUCAUCUCUUCUUUUCUUUUUUUGAACUAAAGGAAAUUCAUGCAAGUGAAUAAAAAGACAUGAAGUCCAAAACUA